rnacentral:lncRNA from 1 species
CAGAAUUUAAAUGUAGCAUUUGUACAUAUCUUAGGUAUUUAUAUAAGAUCAAAGAACCUAAAUAACACUUUUUGAUUGGUCUUUUUCAUGAACUUUGGAGUUGGUACAUUUGUACCCAAAAAGAAAAUAUCAAAUUAAUUUUUUUAUUUGAGAGGGGGUACUGGCAUGUCUUGAAUCUUGAUAUGGUAGACAGCAUGAUAAUGGGCUACCCAAAUUUUUUUAUGAGGUUUGGUGAAGCAAUAGUAUUCAUGUAGCUGUAAUCCAUCUACCAAAAGAGCUGAGCUCGGUACAUGAAGGCUUCUUAGUAUCUUCCACAUAAAAAAUUU